GACGAACGCUGGCGGCGCGCUUAACACAUGCAAGUCGAGCGAUGAAAUUUCGACAGAUCCCUUCGGGGUGAAGAUGAAAUGGAUUAGCGGCGGACGGGUGAGUAACACGUGAGUAACCUGCCUUUGACAUUGGGAUAGCCUCGGGAAACUGGGAUUAAUACCAAAUGACACUAACUGAUCACAUGAUCAAUUAGUCAAAGAAAUUCGGUCAAAGAUGGACUCGCGGCUGAUUAGCUAGUUGGUGAGGUAACGGCCCACCAAGGCGACGAUCAGUAGCCGGCCUGAGAGGGUGAUCGGCCACAUUGGAACUGAGCCACGGUCCAAACUCCUACGGGAGGCAGCAGUGGGGAAUAUUGCACAAUGGGGGAAACCCUGAUGCAGCGACGCCGCGUGAGCGAAGAAGGCCUUCGGGUCGUAAAGCUCUUUUAUGAGGGAAGAUAAUGACGGUACCUCAAGAAAAAGCCCCGGCUAACUACGUG
rnacentral:rRNA from 1 species